GCCCACUCUGAGAAUGAAGAUGCUCGGAGAGAGACAGCAAAGAGCGUGAGGUCAGAGAGAGCAGCUUAUGCAAAGGCUUGAAAGAAGCAAGGGAGCGUAGCAAGAGUGGGAGCCCAGCCUUCAGCCGCCUGACAGCUGGUAGGGGAGGAAGAAAAUGAAUUCAGGUGUUGAUUAAGAGGGAUCCACAGCUGAAGAUGCUGUGCUUCCCCCCGCUGCAGCCCUUUCCCCUUCCAGAUGCUCUGGGAGAGAGGCUGCCAUCCUUGUUUUGAUUUUGCAGCCCUACACCCUGAGGUUAUUUGGCCACAGCGGCGAUGUGAGCUCAGCUCCUCCAGGACACGGCUCAGUGCUCUGCCUCCUCCCGGAGCCGCUCUGCCUUCAGCAGUCCUGGCAGAGUGCUGAACACGCUGUGGGUCCAGGUGAGCUCUCUCCCAGUGGGAGCAUCCAAUGAAGGCUGCAGCAAAGAGUGAGUGGAAGAGCAGAGCCAGGAGCUGCACGGGCGCAGCAGGAGCCGUUCCCUCUGUGGAUGCUGUGCUGUCCUGAGCAGCUCAG
rnacentral:lncRNA from 1 species